ACUUUUAAAAUCUUAAGUAGUCACUAAAAUUGGAAUGAAGAGAAGAUAAGCAUGGCCCCUGUGCAAGGGUGACAUGCAUAUUCGUGAAGCACUCUAUACUUUU
ensembl:snRNA U6 U6 spliceosomal RNA